CCCCCCCCCCCACACACACACUGUAGACCAUGUUUUUACAUUGACCUACCAUAGUCAGAGUUAUAAUUUGUUUAAACUUAAGUCUUUUUUCUCUACGGUUUCAUUUUGUCUGUUGUCACGUGUUGUCUAAGUGUCAACAAAAUGGUUUCUCUGAGCAACGACUACUAUUACUCUAUACAGUAGAUAUUGUUACUUUAACCAAUGAAAAUUAACUCUCAUUUUUUUUAAAUCAUUUUUUUUUUUUCAAAUCCAUAUCUUUAUAACUUUUUAAAGUCCUUUGUUCAUUUCCCCCCCCCCUCA